rnacentral:lncRNA from 1 species
UCCUCUCCUGUCUUCUGCAUUCAUUGCCUUCUCAGAUUUCAUGGUGCUACCAUUCUCAAUGCUCAACCUUCGAGUACGUGGGGGAGUUUUCGCAAUCGCUGCCAUUUGUUUCUCAAAUGGAGAUUUAGGUUCUUUCAUUUUGUAUGAAGGUGUGCUCGGUGCUUCCUUAUUUGCCAAUGCUGAUCCUUUACCAUUUGCCGUUCUGGACCCUGUAGAAAUUACUGUUUGCAUGAGAUUCUGUAUGUCAUUUCUAGAGUAUACUUUAGGCUCAGGUGUACUAGGUAGCUCAAGUCUAGGAAUUUGUGUUCGACAAUCAGUCUUUAGUGCUUGCUUUUGGAAGGAUGAACUAGUAGGGCUUUGAUGAGGCUUAGAAUGAUAAGCCUCCAUCACUGAGCUGCCGUUGCUGAGAUUCCCAAAUUGUUUUGUAACUGCUUCUUCAUCUUGAAACUGACUGUAUUUCUGUACGGAUACUGUGCUAGCAUGUAAAGACCUACUAACAUCUGCUGAUACUUUUAUCUGACUAUUGUCCUCAUUUCUUGAGCCUUCCGAGCUCAACCUCCUUGCCCGAGUUAUAGAAGAUGGAAUUUUUGGUCCUCUCCUGUCUUCUGCAUUCAUUGCCUUCUCAGAUUUCAUGGUGCUACCAUUCUCAAUGCUCAACCUUCGAGUACGUGGGGGAGUUUUCGCAAUCGCUGCCAUUUGUUUCUCAAAUGGAGAUUUAGGUUCUUUCAUUUUGUAUGAAGGUGUGCUCGGUGCUUCCUUAUUUGCCAAUGCUGAUCCUUUACCAUUUGCCGUUCUGGACCCUGUAGAAAUUACUGUUUGCAUGAGAUUCUGUAUGUCAUUUCUAGAGUAUACUUUAGGCUCAGGUGUACUAGGUAGCUCAAGUCUAGGAAUUUGUGUUCGACAAUCAGUCUUUAGUGCUUGCUUUUGGAAGGAUGAACUAGUAGGGCUUUGAUGAGGCUUAGAAUGAUAAGCCUCCAUCACUGAGCUGCCGUUGCUGAGAUUCCCAAAUUGUUUUGUAACUGCUUCUUCAUCUUGAAACUGACUGUAUUUCUGUACGGAUACUGUG